rnacentral:rRNA from 1 species
CGUACACUCCUACGGGAGGCAGCAGUGGGGAAUAUUGCACAAUGGGCGCAAGCCUGAUGCAGCCAUGCCGCGUGUAUGAAGAAGGCCUUCGGGUUGUAAAGUACUUUCAGCGGGGAGGAAGGCAAUACGGUUAAUAACCGUGUUGAUUGACGUUACCCGCAGAAGAAGCACCGGCUAACUCCGUGCCAGCAGCCGCGGUAAUACGGAGGGUGCAAGCGUUAAUCGGAAUUACUGGGCGUAAAGCGCACGCAGGCGGUCUGUCAAGUCGGAUGUGAAAUCCCCGGGCUCAACCUGGGAACUGCAUUCGAAACUGGCAGGCUUGAGUCUUGUAGAGGGGGGUAGAAUUCCAGGUGUAGCGGUGAAAUGCGUAGAGAUCUGGAGGAAUACCGGUGGCGAAGGCGGCCCCCUGGACAAAGACUGACGCUCAGGUGCGAAAGCGUGGGGAGCAAACAGGAUUAGAAACCCUGGUAGUCCCAUGA